UCUCAUGCUGUGACUCUCAGAAAGCACUUCCUGUUGUCUUAGAGAAAUGAACGUGUCUUCCUUUAGAGAGCUGCCGUGUGAGA
rnacentral:pre_miRNA from 1 species